rnacentral:sRNA from 1 species
CAUUCUUUACGGUUGACCUCGGAUCAGGUAGGGAUACCCGCUGAACUUAAGCAUAUCAAUAAGCGGAGGAAAAGAAACCAACAGGGAUUGCCUCAGUAACGGCGAGUGAAGCGGCAACAGCUCAAAUUUGAAAUCUGGCUCUUUCAGGGUCCGAGUUGUAAUUUGUAGAAGAUGCUUUGGGUGUGGCUCCGGUCUAAGUUCCUUGGAACAGGACGUCAUAGAGGGUGAGAAUCCCGUACGUGACUGGGUGCCUUCGCUCGUGUAAAGCUCUUUCGACGAGUCGAGUUGUUUGGGAAUGCAGCUCAAAAUGGGUGGUAAAUUUCAUCUAAAGCUAAAUAUUGGCCAGAGACCGAUAGCGCACAAGUAGAGUGAUCGAAAGAUGAAAAGCACUUUGGAAAGAGAGUUAAACAGUACGUGAAAUUGUUGAAAGGGAAGCGCUUGCAACCAGACUUGCGCGCUGUUGAUCAUCCGAGCUUUUGCCCGGUGCACUCGGCAGCGCUCAGGCCAGCAUCGGUUCUGGUGGGCGGAUAAAGGCCUUGGGAAUGUAGCUCUCUUCGGGGAGUGUUAUAGCCCUCGGUGCAAUGCGCCCUACCGGGACCGAGGACCGCGCUUCGGCUAGGAUGCUGGCGUAAUGGUUGUAAGCGACC